GUUUUCACAUCAGCAGCACAUACAGUAAAAUUAGAACAAUACAAAGAAGACUAGCAGGGCUCC
ensembl:snRNA predicted gene, 24602